UUGGCUUGUUCCUGGUUGAUUGUCCUGCUUGUUUGAGGCAGGACCCAAAGUAGAAUGUUGUGAUGGAAUUUUUCUACAUUAUGAUGUCAUAAAGGUAAGGCUGCAGUUUUCCCUCACAAUGAGCGUUCACUUCAGACCACGUUAAGCCACUGAGGAGGAUCGCAGCAAAACACACUGAAGAGGAUUGCAGCGUUUCUACUGAAGACAAAACUGUUACUGACUUUUUUGACCACACGAGAGAGAUAACCAAGCUAAUGGAUAUCUUUGUGGAUGCCACUGAGAAGGCCACCAGCCAGAAUCUGAGAGAAAAGAUGAGCCAGAGGACAUGCGCCAAGGCUGAAGCUGAGGCUAGGGAACUGAUGGGCAGGUUCCUCAAGGAUAUUGAAGCAAAUGACAAAGAACUGAGUGCGUAAAGAACUGAUAUGGAAAACUGACAAUAUUAUUGAGAUGAAUGCUGAAGAUACUGAACACAAAAUCUGAAGAUGAACCCUUAACAUUCUUAUUACAGUAGAAAGGAUCCGCACUAAGGCCGUUAGGGUACUGAUGGGAAUUUUCCUCUGCGAUACUGAGACAAAUGACACCUCCAUGAAGUUCCUGAAAGAGGUGGAUGCUUUAGCAGAGGAAGAGGAUGAAGCCAUCAGUCAGGUCUUGGAGGAGGAAGAGGGAACAAUCGACCUGCCACUGGUAAACGGCAAUAAGACAGAGAAGACUGUUGAAAACAGCGGGAAUGGAAAGGAGAAAAAGAAAUGGACCAGGAGAGGGACACGAGGCAAAGGAAGGAAGAUAAAUUACAAAAAGUUCCAGGCCAACAA